GCCAUGAUGGCUCAGUGGUUGAGCGUCAACCUGUGAACCAGGAGGUCACAGUUCGAUUCUGGUUGAGGCA
rfam:Myotis davidii contig144731, whole genome shotgun sequence.